AAGCUCCAGUGAGUACAGGCCCAGAACCAUCAAGCACUCCUCCUAUGUUAACUCUUUCAUUCUCGUGAACGACCUUUGGACCUUAUCCAAUGCCAGCACCUCUUUCCUUAGACAAGGGACCCAAAACUGGAUGAAAUCCUAAUUCCUGGAGCUGAUACCCCCACUUGACUCUUCUGUUGAGAAUCUCCUAUUGCUUGACAGAGAUACCAUCUGUGCACAUAAGUGAAUCACAGUAAGUACUAGAAACACAACAGAAUCAAUGAAAGACCACUCCCUACAGGACGGACAAACCACUAAUGUGUGAAAAAAAACAGCAAACUGUACAAAUACAAAAAGAAAAAGAUGAAAUAAUAAUAAUGAUGAUAAGAAAAACAGAAAUGAUAAAUUUUAGAAAACACUAUAUGCACUUUAACACUACCUGGGACAGAAAGAGGAAGAGCAGAUAUAAAAAAAAUUACACAACAGUCAGAUAAAAACCUCAAAGGAUAUAGUUUCAUCAAGGAAAACAGGAUUCAGCACUCCAUGAGAGCAUAUGAAAUUCUGAUAAGAAGUUCACACCACUAAACUUAAAUGAGAGCACAACCCAGAAAAGGAAGACAUUAUCACUACAGAAGGAAGGACAUGGCCCUGCAUGGAAGAUGUCCCUAUGAUCUGAGCAGACUAGGUGUCAACAAAGAAGUGUCAAAUGCCUGAAUCUGAGUUGGAGAUCUCCUCCCAGAAACAGAGGGGUUCCUUAUGGUAAUAUAGGACCAGGAGCUUAGCACAAAAAAUGAUCAAGAAUUCAUAAUAAAAGAGCAAGAAAUUUAAGAUGAUAAAUGCGGAAAAUGCCAAGAGAAACCAGAAACAAUCCAAACACGUUACAGGAGUUUAAUUCGAUCUGAUUACUUACACAGACACAAUCAAGUGGCAAACAUUAUUCACUAAAACUCUGCUUUAAAAUACAAGCUCAUAAAAGACACCAUACCUUGAUCCAUUAGUACAGACAGGACAAUCCAUCAUAACCAUCUGGAUACACAGUAAUAUUACAGGAUGAACAAGUAAGAACUGACUUAACAGAUAGAGCCAUUCCAAACACACACAACAUACUGAAAUCAAUAAGUGAAAAACACCAGAAAUAUGCUGAAUUAAAAGAGGAAAUUGAAAGACUUUGGAACAUGAACAAGGCAUUCAUGAGUAAUAUCCCAAUAAUAAUGUCUACAACUGGUAUCAUCCCAAAAUCCAAUCUGACUGGAGGAAAUCUGACAAGUGAGGAAAUCGAGGAUCCAAUCGCACAAGGAAAUACUGAGGCCUAGGACUUGAAGCUUAGUUCUGAGGGGAUGAUAGUAUUGAAUGCUGAGCUGUAAACAAUAAAGAACAUCCUGAUGUAUGCAUCUUCAUUAUCCAGAUAUUCCAGGGUUGAGUGAAGAUCUGUUGACCUGUUUUAAUGGUAGGCAAGUUGGAACAGAUCCAAGUUGUUUCUCAGGUGGGAGUUGAUAAGUUUCAUCACCAACUCCUCAAAGAACUUUAUCACAUUGGUUGUAAGUGCUACUGGAUGAUAGUCAUUUAGGCAGUUCUCCAUGUACUUCUUGGACACUGGUACAAUUGAAACCUGCUUGAAGCAAGUGGGUACCUAGACUGUUGAAUUGAGAGGCAAAUGAUAUCCAUGAACACUCCAGCCAGUUGAUCAGCACAGGACUUUAGUAUUUGGCCAGGAACUCUGUCUGGGCCAGAUCCUCUCCAUAGGUUCACCCUCUUGAAGGAUGCUCUCACAUCAGCCUCAGAGACUGAAAUCACAGGGUCAUUGGAGGCUGUGGGAGCUUGUGAAGGUGCCUCCAUGUUUUGACAGUCAAAAUGAGCAUAAAAUGCAUUGAACUCAUCCAGGAGUGAAGCCUCGUUGUCACCUAAGUAACUUGGUCUCAGUUUGUAGGAGGUGGUAGCAUUCAAGUCCUGCCACAGGUGUCGAACAUCCUUCAGUCAUUCUAGUUUUUCCCAGAAUUGCCACUUCGCAUGUGAGAUGGCUUUCCAGAGAUUGCAUCUUGACCUCUUGUAUUUAAAUUGGUCGCCAGACCUGAUUGCCACUUAUGUACCCGUCAGCAGGUUGCAGGGCUUCUGGUCAGGGAAGACUCUAAAUGACUCUAAAUGAUUCUGUAGAUGGGGGGUGGGGGGGAGGAGAGACAUUUGUUUACGACUGUUUUUAUAAAGUCUGUGAUAACGGCGUGUAUACAUUCAGUUCCUCUGGUGAGUCUGUGGAGGGAGAAAGGUUAUCAGUCUGUCUCACUUUACAAAUUUUUCCUGACUAUUUACAGCAUAUACUGAUUUUACAUCUGCAUAUUAAAUAUGGCAAACCGUGUUUUUUUAAAAGAAUUUUACAGACAGUAUUGUGACAAUCUAUAGUCAUGAAUUAGUUUAUCCUGAAAAUAUGGGAAUUACCUAUGAAAGGUCAAUGGCUGGGAGGCAUUGUUAAGCAUCUGAUAAAUAUGUCGUCAUUAUAUUACCUAUAAUUGUGAUGACCUACUCCAGUUAAGACAAUGCCUAGGCUGUGCCUUACUUGAGACUAUGAGAUAGCAAAGGCUCUCUGAAUCAUUAGUGAUCUCUAUGUCCCUUCUAACUAAACCUUCAAUGGAAACUGAGCAAAAAGACAAAAGGAGGGUGUGUGGAAGAAUAUGAACAACAUGGUUGCAAAAGGUUUAAUAAUUACCUGCAUGUCCUUCCAAGGGCACCAUUAAAUCUAUUAAGUACCUAUAACUGAAGUUCAAGGUAAUUUUAUUAUCAAAGUACAUAUAUGUCACCAUAUACAAUGCAGAGAUACAUUUUCUUGAGAGCAUACUCAAUAAAUCCAAUAACCAUAAUAGAACCAAUGAAAGACCGCACUAACAGGGCGGACAACCAGUGUGCAAAGGACAACAAACUGUGCAAAUACAAAAAAAAGGAGAAAAGGAAAUAGUAAUGAAAUCCCUGCUGGUUUCCUUGGCUGCAUGAGUUUAGGGAAUACACACUCCAGUCCCGCCAAACCUGCGAGAUUGAGACGGUUCUCCCCGCCUCCCCAACCACGGUUUGUGUGGAUGCUGUGUAAUUUACUACCUUGUUACAGCUCAGUACUAAGAAAUAGCAGACAACACACUGCAUAUGAUUAGAGGAAUUAUAUUUAUGAAUCUUAACCAAAGGGUUAGUAAAGAAAGGAAAAAAAUGUAAAGGGCCCAUAAUGAUUAAACAGUCAAAUGUGCACAAGCUGGAGCUCAGCUCUUCCAAAAGUUGUAUUCGCCGAUCCUCAUUUUACUGUGGCACCUUCUCCAUUGAAUCACGGUCCACCACCAGGUCGCAUUCUAUGACUGGUUCUCUCCACUGUCUUCCCUCUUAAUUUCCCACUGAACAAAGGAUCCAGCUCACAUUCCAAAGCACCCGUUAUCUCUAAAUAUAGCCCAAACACUGCUUCUACAAGAAAGACCAUUAUGUUAGCAGUGAAACCUUUCCCAGGGUGUUACAAUAAUAAUAAAUAAAUAAGCAAUAGAUAUCAAGGCCAUAGUUGUGGGAAUAGUUCAGUGAUGGGCCAUGUGAAGUUGAGUGAGGUUAUCCCCUUUGCUUCAGGUGCCUGAUGGUAAUAACUCCCCGAACCUGGUGGUGUGAGUUCUGAGACUCCUGUACCUUCUUUCUGAUAGCAGCAGUGAGAAGAGAGCAUGAUCUGGGGGUCCCUGAUAAUGGAUGCUGCUUUCCAUAUUGACACUCUCAAUGGUGGGGAGGGCUUUACCUGUGAUAAACUAGGUCAUAUCUACUAUAUUUUUGUAGGAUUUUCCAUUCAAGGCAUUGGUGUUUCCAUACUAGGCUGUGAUGUAUCCAGUCAACUGCUUGAAUAAAGUGAGCCUUGUACAGUUAUUUAUUGUCAUUGUUUGCCACCAUCUGCUCUCUGUGUGACUUAGCACAGGAUUGUUACUGAACAACACGAAACAGUUUAAGAAGGAAUUGUAAGUAAGCAGGUUGCUCGGUAGAUAAUUAAAGAAGGAUUUCACUGCCACCAGUUGGUGUGCUCGAGUUAUUUACUACAGAAUGAAUCUUAUCAAUACACCACAGAAAGCAUUCUCUCUGGAUGCAAACAGCUUGGUUUGACAACUGCUCUGUAUAUGACCUCAAGAAACUGCAAGAGUUGUGGACACAGCUCAGCAUAUCACAGAACCCAACCUCCCCUCUGUUGAGUCUGACUAAACUUCCCACUGCCUCAGCAAAGUAGCCAGCAUCAUCAAAGACCUUAGUCACCUGGACGUAUUCUCUUCUACCCUCUCCCAUUGGGCAGAAGAUACUAAGGCCUGAAAGCAUGUACCACCUGGCUGAGGGGAAGCUUCUAUCCCACUGUUAUCAGACUCAUGACUGGACCUCUUGUGCAAUAAAAUGGACUCCUGGCCCCAUAAUAUACCUCAUUAUAAUCUUGCACUUAAUCUGCACUUUUUUGGUAGUAUUGCACUUUAUUCUACAUUGUUAUUGUUUUACCUUAUUUUAGCACAAUGCGAUGUGAAAUGAUUUGAUCCAUAUGAACAGUAUGCAAGGCAAUCUUUUCACUGUGUCUUGGUACAUGUCACAAUAAUAAACCUAUACCAAUAUCAAUUAUGUCGUUUAUGUUUCCAACUAUUUGGAAUACAUAUAGGACAUUUGGUCCAAUAGACCAG